AGUUUGAUCCUGGCUCAGAUUGAACGCUGGCGGCAUGCCUUACACAUGCAAGUCGAACGGCAGCGGGCCUUCGGGUGCCGGCGAGUGGCGAACGGGUGAGUAAUGCAUCGGAACGUGCCAUUGAGUGGGGAUAACGUAGCGAAAGUUACGCUAAUACCGCAUAUUCUGUGAGCAGGAAAGCAGGGGACCGCAAGGCCUUGCGCUCUUUGAGCGGCCGAUGUCAGAUUAGCUAGUUGGUGAGGUAACGGCUUACCAAGGCGACGAUCUGUAGCGGGUCUGAGAGGAUGAUCCGCCACACUGGAACUGAGACACGGUCCAGACUCCUAUGGGAGGCAGCAGUGGGGAAUUUUGGACAAUGGGGCAACCCUGAUCCAGCCAUGCCGCGUGAGUGAAGAAGGCCUUCGGGUUGUAAAGCUCUUUCGGCCGGGAAGAAAUCGCAUGGGUUAAUACCCUGUGCGGAUGACGGUACCGGCAUAAGAAGCACCGGCUAACUACGUG
rnacentral:rRNA from 1 species